rnacentral:pre_miRNA from 12 species
GUGCAUCUGCCACCGGGAUACACCCUGUGCUCGCUUCGCAUGCAUUUUUAUUGAAAUCAGUGAACACAGCUGGUGGUAUCUCAGUGGCUGGUGCAUG